CUGAAGUGCAGCAGGUGCUUAUAGAUAUCUAUGGAAUGAAUAUAUCAAAAAUGCAUCAUUUUGGACAAAAAUAAUAAUAAUCUGACCUAAAAACCACAGCCAAAAAAAGUCAUAAGGAUGAUUGCAAGUGGGAGUGUGUUCUCUAAGUGUUCCUUGAUGUAAUUCUCACCUCUUCAACAAUAUUUUAAACUCUGUAUGAGCUGAAGCUAUGUAAUUUAUAUAUUUUCCUUCCUUCACACCAGAAUAUCAGGAAUGCUAUUGAAAAUCCCACAUUUUUGGUCCCCAAAUCAGGACAUAUAAUGUGAAAAGAAGUUUUUCACUGCUUCUUGAGGUGGUGAGCUAGCUGUCUAGCAGAUGGAACUGUUGUUGUUUUAACAGCUUUAUUGACAUAUAAUUCACAUACCAUACAUUUAGUUAUUCAAAGUGUACAAUUCAGUGGCUCACCAACUUGUGCAACCGUCAUUCCAAUAAAUUUUAGAGCAUUUUCGUCACCUCAGAAAGAAAUCCCGUAUCUCAUAGCCUUAAUUUCAACCUCCACCCACCCUAUCUCCCAGUCCCUGACAACCACUCACCUACUUUCUGUCUCUAUAGAUUUGCCUGUUCUGGACUUUUCAUAUAAAUAGAACCACACAAUAUUUAGUCCUUUGUGACUGGUUUCCUUCAGCUGGCAUGAUGUUUCUAAGGCCCAUUUGUGUUGAACAUGCAUCAGUACUUCAUUUCUUCUAUGGCCAAAUAAUAAUCCAUUAUAUGGAUAUAGUACAUUUUAUUUAUUCAUUUAUCAUUGAUGGACAUUUGGGUUGCUUACACUGUUUGGCUGUUAUGAGUAAUGCUAACAGAUUUUUUGAAGAACACAACUUUCAUUUCUCUUAUGUGUAUAUCUAGGGGUGGAAUUGCUGAAUUAUUAGCAGAUGGUUUUACUGUAGAAAUAUUUGAGUUAGUGAAACAUUUUUUAUGACUUAUGAAGGAAAUUAGACCCAAUAAUUGAAACAAGAUCCAUCUCAUAUAUAUUGAUGCAAAGGCUAAGGGAGGAAUUUAUUCAUCUUUUUUGAGCUGGCUUUAAGUCCAGAGUCAAUCCUUGCCAUUUCCCUAUUGUAGAAAAUCCUUGUUGUAGACAGAUGACCCUAUUGUGGACAGGUGCACAUUUUCCAAGUAUACCUCUCUCUCUACUCAAUAAAUCCAUAGAAUGAUUCUGAAAAUGCAUACUUAAUAUUAGGAACUUCACAGAGCUAUGAAUAUAUAUAUAUUUCACCUCAGACCUCCUCAGGCAGAAGAAGACAAGAGAAAGACUAUAUUUCUUAUUUUCUUAAAGAGACAUGAUCCAUCUGGAUAAUAUCAACAAAACUUUACAUUCUAAAGUUGCAAAUAAAAUUAUUAAUAGCAGUCAUGUUUAAAGAACAGUAGAGAUGUAUGCACUAUAGACAUAUUCUAUUGAAAUUCUAUUCAGAUUCAAUGUGAACUCUAUGUUUGUGUCCAUUUAAUAAAAUCUAGAGGCUGGCAUUACUGUUUUAAAGUUAUAAUAGAAUUGUAUAGUUUAUAUACUCUUGUUUUCAAAAAUCAUCUGCUUAUAUGUUUGACUUAAUUGAGAAUUAGUUCUUGAUCAGUAGCACAUCCCUCACCCAAUGUAUGGCAUUAUUUGUUUGGCAAAAUAUGAUCCACUUCAUAAUGGUCUGCUUUGUGACAUAGCUUCCAGGAACUCACUGUGGUAAAAACUGGGGACUUUCUGCACCGCUUGUGUUGGACUGUACCUUCCCUGAUCUUACCAUCAGCUCAGCUGAAGGUGACUCCCCAUUGUGUUAUCAAGAAAAACACUACAUUUCUCAGCCUUCCUUGCAGUGAGCUUGGAGCCAGGAGAACUGGGCUAUGAAGAGGGAGAUUUAAUUCCUAAAAACAUCCCAUUGGGAGCUCCAACUCUCUCUCCUUCUGCUAUGUUUCUUCUCACAUGGACAAUCUAUGUAGCCAGGAAUCAGCAAGAUUUAUUAAGAGGUGCAUAGCCAGUCACUUUGUGCAUCUCUUCACAGUUUAUAAAGCACCGGCAAACAUCCUAAUAGCCAUAUGAGGUGAUCAGGUAAGCCAUUUGCUAUUAGUACACAGAGAAGUGAGUUCCCUGUGUGGAAUGGCAAAUUACGCCCCCCACCCUUUCCACUUCCCUUUCCAAUUGCACUUUCUAUAUGCACUCCCAGAACUUAGAGAUUAUAUUUUUCCCCAAAUGUAAAAUCAGGAAAAGUUUAUAGGCAAUGGAUGGCAUUAGGAUCCACACAGAUAAUUUACAAACUUGCUGCUCACAGUGAAUCCAUGGGCCAGCAGCAUCGACAUCACUUGGAGCUUAGAAAUACGGAAUCUCAGGCCCCGCCCCAGACCUACUAAGUCAGAUUCUGAAUUUGAACAAGAUAUCCAGGUACUUUCUGUACACAUUAAAAUUUGAGAAGCAUUGCUCUAGAAGAGUAUCUGUAAUUGUGUGACUGAGAUUUGGGGACCUCGAAAUUGAAUCAGGAAAAUAGCAUGUAGACUCAGGGAAGAGUAGAGUACAGUUGCAACUAAUAAGCCUGAAUAAACGUAAAGUUGAUUCUAUCUGAAAGUAGAAGCUGUUAAUGGAAGGGAAACAAGCUGCUUAGAAUCUAGAAAAGCAAAACCCAAAAAGCAACAUUUUCCUUAAGUCUUCUUCACUAUUUAGUAAAGAUGACCCCCUGAUCUACCAAUCUGUGUAUUUAUUUUAAGAGAUGAUGAGUGCAUUUGACCACCAAAGCUGAGUGUCCCAGGUAAUCUACUUAUAAUCAAAUUUUAUGUGUUCCAUGUAACUUUCUGAUUAUAAUUUAACUGCCCAUAUCAUGUAGUUUUUCUAAAUGGAGAGACUGACCAAUCAGACCAAAACAUUCUCGAAUGGCUGUCCACGCUCAAAAUCUGAUUGAGUGUGGUUAGGACAAACAAGUCUACUUGAAUAAACUGUGUAUAUACUCAUACAAUUUUUUGACAUAUGUAGCCACUUCCUAGAAACACUACUACCUGAGGUUCUGAUGGAAUGGUCACAUGGUAUCUCUGGAUAAUAACAACAAACAUUUAUUUAGUACUUCAUAUAUUCCAAAAGUACUUUGCCUGUAUUACAUAAUUUAAUUCUCAUAAGUCAUAUAUUAUAAUUCCCAUUUCACAGAUGAGGAAACAGAGGCAUAAAGUCAUUAAGUAACUUGACUAAGUUAUGAAUUGACAGAAACAGGAUUUUAGCCCAGGCAGUUCAGUACCACACCAGAGCCUGCUAUCUUGAUCACCAUGUUAUGUGGCCUUCAUCUUGUCCCUCAACAAUUGUUACACAUUGGCCUCUUCCUAUUUCCCCCACCCAUCAUUUUUAGAUUAAGUUCAAAAACACAAGCAAAUCUAAGGUGCCAGGAACUAGAACUUUUGAUAUGACCAAGACAUUAAAGCCUCAAGCCUAAGUAGGUGACAUUUUCUAUGUGGCUGAGGAUGCUCCCCUGGGGUUUACAGGUUAAACCGCAGAUGUGCUGGAUCCUAAGAAGUCAUUCUCUAACUGGCACCUCCUCAGACUUGCUUCCUCUGGUCUUGAGAAUGAAAUUAUUCAGAUGCCAAUGUCAAAGGGGGCUAGAAAAAAGACAGGGGACAAAGUUCACUUUGCUUGAGGCUUAGGUAAAGAGGAGUCUAAUUAACUCAACAAAUAACUCUAUUGGUGUUUAUACCAAAAGCUUUGUAGAAAUAUACAACAUGCUUUGCAUUACUUGGAUCUCUAUAAGUAUAUUUCUCUUGGAAUCAUCACAGGAAGUGGCAGCAGCUGCACAGAACUCAAGGAUUUUCAACCCUGGAUCAGUGCUUUGCAAUCCUUUCUCUGCCCCAGCACAUCUGUGAAAUACAACAUGUUUCCAUAAGUUACAGUGGCUCACUUCAAAUAAGAUUUAUGAAAGACUAUAUGUUUCCACUCCUUUCCAGUACAAAAUAAUAAAGCUGUGUUUUUCAGUGCUUUUUAUGCUAAAUAUUAAUACAUGCCAUUGCCCUAGGGAGAAAAAUCAAUUUCCGUAAAAACGAGAAGCAUAUCAACUUAAACUGAACCUGAACACUUGGUAUGCUUCUCCUAUGUCCCUUCUGGUCCUUGUCAAUAUCAAAGAAACAAAAGUGUUAUCAAAAAGGCAAAAACUAAUAAAUGCAGUGACCUACUUCAUUCUAUGUUUGUUAGAAAACUAACAUGAUUUAUUUUAUUAUGCAUUUAAAAUAUAUUUAAUCAAUUCCCCCAUUAUUUUCAAAUAGUUUCUAGCUAGCUAACUAGCUAGCUGUCAUUAUCUAGAAAACUCUUAGGACUACUUUCCAAGGGUCAGAAGGAAGUUAUUUGCAUAUGAUCACCCAACAAAUGAAAAUGCUAGCAUCUGGUGUUAACUAAUUUAUUUAUAAAUGUUGACCAUGGCAGUUGAUGAGUUUAUUUACUGUUUAUAGAAAUCAUAUAAGCCUCUAUUAACUUAAUAUUUUUUAAAAGUAGAUUUAGAAUUUCCAAAACAUGUAAAAUUAAACAAGUCACCUAUUUUUAACUUAAUUUGGAGUACUAAAAGUUUACAAAACUUAAGUGCACUUCUGACAGUUUAUUUACUUAUUUUAUUAAUUUUUUUGAACUGUGUUUACUUUUUUCAAGGGUUUAAGAGUUUAAAGAAGCAUAAAAAUGAUCUAUUCAUGCACAAUCAAUUAAGGUGCAAGACACUAUAAGGAACUGUAAAAGAUAUUCAUGAAACACUGAGGGGAGACCAGACAGUCUACCACAUCAAAAUGAAAUUCAACAACAGUGACGCUGGCCAGGAAAUUUGAAGGAAGGCAAGCACAAUUGUAAAACAGGAGAGCUAAAUGGCAUAGAUUAAUCAA
rnacentral:lncRNA from 1 species